CCACAAUUACUAACCAAUAAUCGAAGAAAAUGAGUUGUUGGCUAAAAAUGGGGUUCGAAUCGAAGGUAUUGCCAAUUGAAACUCUUCAAACUUCACUUGUUCUUCUUCCUUGUUUGUGGUCGACGGUAGACUAUAGGCGUCGGCGGUCGACGACUCUCCGUUGAGAUGGUAAUUAGGGAAAAGAACAGAAAGAUUGGGGAUUAGCCCAUUAGAGUUAUUCAACGAUUUGGGAAUUUUUGUUUUCAAAUUUUUCAACUAGC
rnacentral:lncRNA from 1 species